CUCCAUGCACCGGGAGCCUGAUGUGGGAUUCGAUCCCGGGUCUCCAGGAUCACGCCCUGGGCCAAAGGCAGGCGCCAAACCGCUGCGCCACCCAGGGAUCCCCUGCUUUAAGGUUUAAAAAAAAAUUAAGCCAUGUCUGUUUUUUUAACCAUAAUUAUAUUUUAGGUAGAGUAAUAAAUUAUCAGCUCUAGUGUUAUUAAGGACUAACAAAUGAAUACUACAUUAUUAAGACUAUACAGUCUAUGCCUAAUUCUUCAAACAACUAUACUCUCAAAUGUCGUCAGCACAUGAAAUAGAAAAGUUUAUAGUUACAGGUAAAAAUAUGGCACCAGGUAUCUACAUCUAGUUAUUAUCAAAUCAGUCAAAUAUUUAUUUUAAGAAGUUUAUUUGUUCAAUAAGACAUAAAGUAGUACAGAAUAAAUAUUAGCAUAUAUACAUAUGUUCAUAAAAAUAAAAGACUGAUUCCUCUUCUUGGAGAUCUUACAAAUGAGAUAACAUAAUGGGGACAAAACACAUGAUAAGUUGUAAUUAAAUUUUCAGUUGCAUAAUUCUUAUAUGCAAUAGGAGCCCACUAUAGACUAGAAGAAUUCAAGGGGUAGAAGUGAACCAAAUGAAGAGAGAAGCAGACAAAGAUGAAUAAAGAUGUCACUACAAUCAAGGAAAAUAAUAUAAAGAAGGACAAAUUUGAGAACUGAACAAAACACACAGGUCCCAGGAAGAAGUGCAAAUUCCUGAGGAGCCUUCCCUGACAGUGUGUCAGGAAUUAACAGACUAUAAAGUAAAACUAGAUUAAGACAGGUUUGGUUGAGGGAAAAUUCUAAAGCAGAAGCUGUAGGUAAUAGAAGUCCUCAUAAGUCUAAGUAUAGGAGGCAAAUUUGAUGUAAAAGCAUUAAGACACAGGAUAGAAAAAUUCAGGAUGGGUAAAAAAAGAAAUUAUAAAAGUAACCCAGUCUUGGGGGGGAGGAGGAGAGCACUGGCAAAGGAAAAGGAAGAAUGAGAAUUUCUUCAAAGUACAACCAAUCUCAUGACAGACCUAACAAAAUAUAAAGGCAGGAGAAGGAUUCGUUCAAAGUUGUCAGCCUUGGAGCUGAGGUGUUUUUAUGUGCUUGUGAGAUACAACUCUGGAUUCCCCUAAAAGUACUAAUUUCACUUUGUACUUGUUUUAUUUAUUUUAUAUAGAUUAUGCUACACAUAACAUCACUGCUUUUAUCUUACCUUUUACUGAUUAAUAUGAAUUUCUGCUCAUGUAUUCAGUAUAUUAAUGGUCAAACCUUUUCAUUUCUCUUAUUUUCUGUUAUAUUGUAAUGGUUACAUUGUUCAUGCUAACCCAAAGCCUAGUGAAGGAAUUAAACUGCAGAUAGACAUUUCUGUGAGACAUCUAGGUCAAAUCUUACACUUAAAUAAUUCCACAGAGAAUUCAUUUAUGAUGUUCCAACUCACAUUUCAUGUAGUCAGCACUUCUCAAGGGCUAGGGUGCAUCUUAUAUAGACAACUCACAGAUAGGGAAAGCCAGUACUUCUAAUUAAACUGGAACACAAUUUUCAAAAGAACAUGUGGAAAAUUUCCUUUGUUGUAUACAACUACCAGUUUUCAGUUGAAAAUGAGAUUCAUCAAAAUUCUUCUAGUUCAAGUAUCUAGAAGGAAAUCUUAUGGGAGAAACUCUUUCUGGAUCCAAAAUUGGCUUGAUAGGUUAAUACAAAGUCUGGCUUAUGGCACUUAUUCUGACUUCCCAGUGUUUGUGGCCCUCCUAGAUUUCAGCCAGGCUUCAAGUGAAAAAGCAUCACAGUCAGGAGUAAAAUAAACUUAGAAGCAAUGUAGGAAAAAUUACCUAAACUUGAAUUCAGCAUCAUGAGUUUUCAUGCAAGGAUAUCUUCUUGUUCUUAGGUCUCCCAUUUCUUCCCUGUCUCUCACACACACACACACACGCACACACACACACGCACGCACACCAAGUCCUAUGUGGUCAGUUUGUCAUAAAGGGAGGAGCUGGAACUUGCCAGGCAGGAGUCUUGUGUUAUACUUUGUCUACCCCCAGAGCUCUGAGGUUGUCUGAUUUUUGCAGUGGCAAUUGCAGUCUAAUUAGGUCAAGUACAACCAUCCCAUUGGUGAUGAUUACUGGGAGGUUUUGUUGUCUUGCGUUUGUCUUUAUAGGUUCUCAUAUAAUCAUAAUUGCAGUAAUAUCCCAUAGUGAUUAUAUUAGUCUUCCAGAGCUGUUGUAACAAAGUACCACUGAUCAGAUGGCUUAAACAACAGAAAUUUCUUUUUCACCAUUCUGGAGGCUGGUGUCUUUUUUCUCUUCUUAUAAGAUCGCCAGUCAUAUUGGAUAAGCCUCCAACAUUAUGACCCUCAUUUAACCUUAGCUGUCUCCUUAAGCACCUUAUCAGGUGACAGUCAUCAAGACAGUUAUGUUGAAGAAUAGACCUUCAAUAUCUAUUCUUAGGGGACACAAUUCAAUCUAUAUCAAUGAUAGUUCACCAAUUUCAUAAAAUUUUGUCAUCCUUGCUAAUAGAGCUACAACUUCUACAAAUUAUCAUGAAAUCCUGUUAAUCAUAAGUGCUCUUUAUGAUCAAAAUCCUCUGAUUUGGUCAUGAAA
rnacentral:lncRNA from 1 species